AAAGGUCUCCCUCUUCUGCUGGCGGUGCAAGAGUGUGUCCUGUGACAGCUGGGCGCUCUCUUGCUGGCACCCCUGGGAGGCUGCCACAGAAGGGAAGGAGAUGCUGGUUCACGGUCUGUUUCCGCACGUCUGCAUUUGCCAUGGAGCCUGUUCUACAGUCAGCUGUGAUAAAAGUCACCAUCUUUGUUUCCACUGUGGUACUGAAACUCUGUCCACACGGUGGUCAAAGGGUAUCAUUUGACAUUUCAUGUUUUGUAAUUUUCAGCGUAGAAAACAUUUAACAAUCUAGGGGUUUUAACGGUAUUUAGCAUAAGCAGAGCCACUUUACAGCCAUUUUACAAAACAUCCUUUAAGUUUUAUACUUUUCUGCUUCGAUACAGAGAAAUUUCUUACCACCGUAGACUCUUGCCCUUUCAUAUUUCCUAGGUUUUUUUUAAAGGAGAUUGUCCUUAACAUUUUUUUUUUUCUUCUCUUCCUUUCUCCUUAUAAAAUCUUGUGAUAUGCAAGGUACGGUUUUGCAGUAGGCAGCUGGAAACUCAAAGCGCUCAGUAUUAACUGAUGCACGAGGAAAGGUGAAGUAUUGAUACCUCUAAAGUUUCUGUACUUCCUUCUCUUUUGAACUAUGUUUUGCCAUCUUACAAGUACUCUUUCAUUGUUUAACUGUUUCUUUCUUUGUUUUUUUAUCCCUAAGCUAUGUUUUUAAUUGAACUAGAAAUUGCGUCUCCUUGCAUCAAAUAGAGUACUUUCAUUAGUCAGAGGUGAUUAUCAGAAUUUUUCAGAGUUUUUGUGGCACAUGUGAUUGAUAUGUGGAAUAUUGAAAAGAAACUUCUGCUGGACAGCCAUUGCUGCUGAGCCACAACUUUCCAUUCUGUCAGCUCCAGCCUGACUUUGAUCUUCACAUUCCAGGGGAAUACAGGAAGAUAGCACAAACCAUGCUUUAUUCCUUACUCUUUAGAUUCCCCUCACCGCACCCCUCUAUGUUUUUCCAGCUAUUUUUAGAUUCUUGUGUUCUUGCCUCCUUAGAGCUAUUUUGGGUAAAAAUCAAUUAGUUUCCUAUGAAAUUUGCCUGAGAAAUACUGCAGGACAAGACCCAGGUAAGUACCUCCUGCAGAAUACUAAUUUAUACUCCUGUUCAUGUGUAUGUAUAUAUAAUAUAUGAAAUUGCCAUUAUGUGUGCUACUGGCUAGAGCCAGGGGUAGCUGUCAGCAGACCUGAAUCUCUAAAAUCUUGUUCCAAGGCUGUAGCUUGGUCUUAGUAAGUUUCUCAACCUCCCCCAUCCUCACUUUCCUUACUCAGGAAUAAACAGUAUUAACUUGUCUUUCUAAGGUGCUUUAACACUUUGGAUGGAAGGUUUUCUCAAAGUGCAUUGUGUUUUUGCUUUUUAUGGUGAUGCUGUUAGCUGGGCAUCUUGCAACCAUUGUGCCAAAAUAACAGAAGGCAAUGCUUGUAUUUUUCUGUUCUUAGUUGGAGAUUUUCUUUAUCAUUCUGAAUUCCAGUUGCAUGUAUCACGGCAUAAGAGCUGUUGUGGAAGGUGGCAAAGCUGAGCUACAGGAGUGUGCGGACCACACCUGAAUGAGACAUAAACUGCGUGGCAAUAAUGGGGUAAGAUUGUGUGGCUAUAAUAGCGCAGAAAUGUAUAUAAAUUACAGAGGCUGUUAAUAUGUUUUGGAGAGCUUUAGGGACUUUGUUUACCUGGUUGAAAGUAGUCAUUUGUGAUAAAGCAGAACUCAUAGCUUCCUUAAUGGUUCUCUUGACCUGUUCUCUGGAGGAGUAAGAUUUGGAAAGCCCCAGAACCAGUUUGAGCCAGAAAAAGGAGACAUAGUAACCACUAGCCUAAAAAACAGGAAGGAGAAAGAACCCGCCUAGAGAAGAGAAAAAGGAGCCAGCAAGAGAGAGAAGACCCCAGACCCGAACAUUACUAUUGGACCAGACUCUGGUGUGAGGGGCAGGAACUUAGAUUGCAAGGGUGGAACUGCCCACGGAAUUUAGUGUUUGGGGUCCUGCUCCGGAGGCACCCAGCUCGAGCUGUCUAAAUUUGUGCUUUUUAUUUUGAAGGCCUUGAUUAGAGAUUCUACAUCAGGGAACCUAGGGUCGAGCCUGAGGGAAGACGCAGCAACCGAGGGCGAGCGUGUGUGAGGAGUCAGAACGGGCACCCGCCAGCUCGCUGGGGUCGCAGUCCUGGCAGUUCAAGCCGCGGGGGGCUCGUGUGCGACUCCUUGACUGGGGUGUGAAUGCUCGCGCAGCGGCUUCUCCCUUAACAAGAGCUAUGGUUCUUCGAGAUGACGAAUAGCUACUCUGACAAAGCCAAGCAUAAAAGCAUAAGAUCAUCAGUUUAUUUAAGAAUUACUUCCAUGUGCCACUGAAAUACAGCCACUUCUGAAGACAGACAGACCAGCCACUUACAGAAACUGAAGUGCGUCUUGGCCAACUGAAAUGACAGGGGAACUGAAAUGCUGUGCUGUGGAAGGUAUUUAUGUUGUCUGGAAUAUCUGAUCUAGUUUGUUAUCUUCCUUGGAGAAUUCAUGAUGAAAUCUGACAGUACAUCACAGCAUUUAUCAUCAGUGUUUUGUUAUAAUUUGUAUAAAUUCUCAUGAAGUGGAAUUUAGUGUUGACAUUUUACACUGUAAUUUCUUCAGGGAUUUCUACUGUGGGCCCAGGACAAAUGCAGAUUCCUGAAUGAUCCUUUUCCGUGCUCAGAAGAAAGUCAAAGCAGUCCUGCUCUUUGAUAGAUGAGCUAACCUAUCACUGCAGCCUUGCUCCCCUUGCCCCUGAAAGGCAUCUUGAAUUAGUCCAUGAACCAGACUUCAGUGAGAUCACUAAAUUUGCAACAGAAAACUCAAGCGAGUACUUCUUGGUGAAGGGGAUUCGUGAGCAGGCACUAAUGUCAAGAGCUCAGCAGAAACGUCCCAGGGAACAGCAACAUUCUGGGCUGUACAAUGUUCUGCUCCUGUCCCCACAGCUACAUAAAUUUUCCUCCAUUACAAAUUCCUUCCUACCCAUGUUUCUUUUCAUCUUCCCUCUGUUUUUCUGUGCUGCCUAUUCAUUUAUUUUCAUCUCCCGUUUUAAUCUUCUUAGUCCUUCAAGUAUGCUGUAUGUGCCCUCUAAAGGAGCAGUUCAUACACAGCAGAGCCUGCAAUUUCUUAAAAGCACCAGGACCUGUUCAUGAGGCUGAAUUUUGCUAGCAUCCAAGUGCCCUUGAUUCACACUGGGAGUUCAGGGUGCCCAUGACUGAGUCCACUAUAAACUUGUUACAAUGUCAUUAAUGUCUCAAAUGCCUUGAGAAUAUUUCAGGAGCCAAGACUGAGCCUGGUGCCUGUGCAGAAAAAGAAAUGCUUUCAUCACAUGCACAGCUAUAUGCCUCUUGCUCCAGCUGGGUGAUGCAGAACCAGAAAGAGCAGCUUGCCUGAAACUGCACAGCAAGUGUCAGGAAAGGAAUGGGACCCUGGCUCCCCAUGGCAGAACUGGCCAGACUGAAGCAGAGGAGGUGAACUGUUCCUCAAAACUAGGGACUGCAUGUGGCCUUACACUGAAAGAGUAAUCCAGGAAAGGAGAUGGCAGUGUGCAUACCUUGUGCACAGGGUCUGACUCUUAGGGCUGAUGGUGGCCCAUGCUACAGUGCAACUACAGCUUUGUUAACUUUCAUGCCUUUGAAAAUACUGGGCAUACAGAUAAUCCUUUGCACUUUUCUUGAAGGGUUUAAAUGCUUAAUUCACCUUCUCACUUUGCUCUACUCCGGGUGAACAAACCUGGAAAAGACUGUAACACAUCAGAACUGGCAGGGUAUCCCCCCUUGUUAUCCUUCCUUCUUAUUCUGGCAGAGGCAGAGUCUCUGGCAGAGACUUUGAGGAUGAAGAGAAAAGGACUUUUAAUGGUAAGAAACUGACCAAGUUACUGUGUGCUCUAGUGCUAACGUGCGUCAAUCAAGAUCUCAGAUACGUAGUUUGACCCACUAUAACUGAACAGGGUUCUGCAAGCAACCAUGUGGGGUAUGACAAAGGCAGCAAAUGCCAAGCAAAGAUACAGUCGCUGUCAGCGAAGAGGAUACAACAGUUUCCUCUAACACCGGUUCUGCCUUUGUUGUGCAGCCCAGAAAAGAAAGUCCAUGCUCUUGAGUCCUACCUGUCCACAACAGGAUCUAGCCCAGCUCCAAGCUUUGGUGUGUAUGUAUAGUAUUUGCGAAGCUAGAAAAAUCUCAUCAUGAGUUACUGCACAAUAAACCUACCUCUUCAUUUGUACCUAAGUGGAUACCCUGUUCCAUUUUUACAGCAGCAUAUUUUGUAAGUAAAAAAUAGGAGUUCAUUAAAAAUAGAUGUAUUUCUUGCUAGGAAGUCUUUGGUUUAAAAGCCCAUUUUCAAACAUUAUAUGUGAAAAUGCUCAAGUCCUGCAGUGGGUCACUUACUAAAAAUUUGAUUUGAAGAUCAGCCUACAAGUCAUAAACAGUCUCAUAAAGAUGUAACUAUCAUAAUAACUUUCCUUUUCCCAGUUGGAAAUACAAGAUGAACUGUUCUGAAGCACCUAAUGUAUGACUAAUGUUUAUUUGUUUUACAAGAAGCUUUACAGCUGCAGUGUUCCAAGAAUGCUUAAAUUCAAUAAACAGCUAUUAUAAUUCACUGAAUGGUGGCAU